rnacentral:rRNA from 1 species
UACGAACUGUGCGAACGUUAUUCGGAAUCACUGGGCUUAAAGGGUGCGUAGGCGGCGUCUCAAGUCAGGUGUGAAAUCCCCCGGCUCAACCGGGGAACUGCGCUUGAAACUGGGAUGCUCGAGUGAGGUAGGGGUGCAUGGAACUUCCGGUGGAGCGGUGAAAUGUGUAGAUAUCGGAAGGAACGCCGGCGGCGAAAGCGGUGCACUGGGCCUUGUCUGACGCUGAGGCACGAAAGCUAGGGGAGUGAACGGG